GCAAGUCGAACGAGAUCUUCGGAUCUAGUGGCGGACGGGUUAGUAACGCGUGGGAACGUACCCUUCACUACGGAAUAGUCCCGGGAAACUGGGUUUAAUACCGUAUACGCCCUUCGGGGGAAAGAAUUUCGGUGAGGGAUCGGCCCGCGUUAGAUUAGUUAGUUGGUGGGGUAAUGGCCUACCAAGACUACGAUCUAUAGCUGGUUUGAGAGGAUGAUCAGCAACACUGGGACUGAGACACGGCCCAGACUCCUACGGGAGGCAGCAGUGGGGAAUCUUAGACAAUGGGGGCAACCCUGAUCUAGCGAUGCCGCGUGAGUGAUGAAGGCCUUAGGGUCGUAAAGCUCUUUCGCCUGUGAUGAUAAUGACAGUAGCAGGUAAAGAAACCCCGGCUAACUCCGUGCCAGCAGCCGCGGUAAUACGGAGGGGGUUAGCGUUGUUCGGAAUUACUGGGCGUAAAGCGCACGUAGGCGGAUUAGUCAGUCAGAGGUGAAAUCCCAGGGCUCAACCCUGGAACUGCCUUUGAUACUGCUAGUCUUGAGUUCUAGAGAGGUAAGUGGAAUUCCGAGUGUAUUGGUGAAAUUCGUAUAUAUUCGGAGGAACACCAGUGGCGAAGGCGGCUUACUGGCUCGAUACUGACGCUGAUGUGCGAAAGUGUGGGGAGCAAACAUGAUUAGAUA
rnacentral:rRNA from 1 species